rnacentral:lncRNA from 1 species
UUUCACAACUUGACUGAAAUUCAGCCCUGUCAGGAAUCACUGCUUUGCUUUCUAUUUAAUUAAGUCAGUGUUUAGGUUGUACAAAUAAGUUGUUUGCUCCCAUAAUGGACAUUGAAACGGAAGCCUUAGCUGGCCUGGCUCUUCUCCUCAGGCGUGGAAAAACUGAAACUAAGAAAAACAAGCAAAGCAGUGCUGGGUUUUCUACUUCCUGGAUAGGGUAACUUGCGCAUCCAAUGAAGGCCAUCUGGUGGUUUCCCAAAUUAACAGUGCUGCGCAGAACUUUCAACAAGAAAAGCCCAGAGGAGGACGGUUGCUUUUGAAGCCACCACUCUUGUCUGCCUCAUUCAUUUCAAACAGAGAUACUUCUCAAAGAGAUGAAGGCCCGUGUACAAACAACAAUGCCCACUGCAUUCUCUUGCCACCAGCUGUGUUGUGGUGGCUUUUGAUUCUGCACAGAAGCUGCCUUGUUUCAGAAACUGAUUGAUGGUUCUUCUGAAUGAAGGAGGCAACAAGAACAAAUAAGCAGAGUUCCUGGUAAGGCAAGGUACUUCAAGAGAAUGGGCUUGAGAGCACUUAAAAUAAAAGGUGAACACAAGCCUCCAUGAAAGUAAAGCAUUGAGCUGCUUGCUCCUGGUUGAGAAUGUGCAGUUCUUAAGGAUCUCCACGUGUUGGUGCAAAGACAUAAGCUCCUUGGAGACAUCUGACUUGUCUUUUAUUUGACUUAUAUAAAAAGUCUGGUAUUUCAGACUUUUUAGUGGAGGUUAAAAAAAAAAAGUUAAAUCCAAAUAGAUGUCAUAAAACAGAGAAAACCAAUUGAAAUUAAAAAAUGUAGGCGGCCUGAGUUGGAUUCAAGGCAGUAAAAAGAAAACAAUGCAUUGAAAGAGCUGGUAAUGAGGCAUCUUGGCAGAGGGGAGGGCAUGUGAUUUCUCUUUGGAAAGACAGUGAAAGGCCUGCAAAGGCUUAUAAACACCAUGGGCAGCGUUAGGACCUGCUUUCCAUGAACUCAGAGAUGGCCUCCUCUUUCCAUAAAUCCUUGACUUUCCCUUUUGCCUAACAGAUGGAGACAAACCAGGUAAAACUAGCCACGAGAAGCCUAGCUACAUUAAAUAUUUUUAUUAUAAGAAGCUCUAUCAAACUUCCUGGGGGUGAGCAUUCUUCAAGAAUCUGUGUUGGGGGCACAGUGAUGGCUGAGGAGCAGGUGUGGGGGGUAGAGCUGGGGUUUUAGGGGGUUGUGAGGAUUGGAGGGGUGGGGGAACGAGUAUUCUGGUCAUUGGUUCUUACACACCAUGUUUUCACAAUAAUAAUAAAAAUUUGUCCAUCAGC